CCUACGGGUGGCUGCAGUGGGGAAUAUUGGACAAUGGGGGGAACCCUGAUCCAGCCAUGCCGCGUGUGUGAAGAAGGCCCUCGGGUUGUAAAGCACUUUCAGUGAGGAAGAACGCCUGGUGGUUAAUACCCAUCAGGAAAGACAUCACUCACAGAAGAAGCACCGGCUAACUCCGUGCCAGCAGCCGCGGUAAUACGGAGGGUGCGAGCGUUAAUCGGAAUUACUGGGCGUAAAGCGCGCGUAGGUGGCUUGAUAAGCCGGUUGUGAAAGCCCCGGGCUCAACCUGGGAACGGCAUCCGGAACUGUCAAGCUAGAGUGCAGGAGAGGAAGGUAGAAUUCCCGGUGUAGCGGUGAAAUGCGUAGAGAUCGGGAGGAAUACCAGUGGCGAAGGCGGCCUUCUGGACUGACACUGACACUGAGGUGCGAAAGCGUGGGUAGCAAAAAGGAUUAGAUACCCUGGUAGUC
rnacentral:rRNA from 1 species